AUACAAAGACAGAGACAGAGAAAGAGAGAAUGAGAGGGAGAAGCACGGCAAAAGGGAUUCGGUUUCGUAGGACGGGGAAGUAGUUUCGCGACGAUGGAGGGGAAGCAUUGGCGGAACGAGCGGGGGAGGCGGGAUGCGACGAUCGGUGAGGGUUUUGCUCGGCGAAUCGGGGAGGGGCUGGGGGGAGGGGGCGAGCAGAGGAAGCAGAAAGAGAGAAUUCGGGGCUGUUGACCGGGGCUUCGAAUUCGAAAGGCUCACGCAGGCUCGCAGUGAGGCAGGACGCGGAUCGCGACGGUGCCGACACAACGUCGACGAGGACGACGAAAACGGCUACAACGCAGUCGCCGACACCGCCCGAAUUUCACGAUGCCUCGAUGCGAAGCUGACUCGACUGCACUCUGUACG